CCGUUGACUAAAAAAAUUACAAAUGUUUCAAAUACAUAAACUUCAUUGCGACAAAAACAUUGCAAUACGAAAGGGAGGAUAAAUAAAAUUCUUAAAUAAAAUCAUAAACUGAUCGUUAAUCUAACUAAGGGUGAUUGGGUACUGAGAAUCCACGAGUGGCAUCAAGCUUCUCCGAUUACCAAUCCAAAAUCAUCGUUAUGUCACGUCUACAACAUCGUUGCAAUUCCAGCACAACUCAAAACUCUAAUAACCUAGGGCGUAAGCCCGGCC
rnacentral:lncRNA from 1 species